rnacentral:rRNA from 1 species
CCUACGGGGAGCAGCAGUGAGGAAUAUUGGUCAAUGGACGAGAGUCUGAACCAGCCAAGUAGCGUGAAGGAUGACUGCCCUAUGGGUUGUAAACUUCUUUUAUAUGGGAAUAAAAUGUUCCACGUGUGGGAUUUUGUAUGUACCAUACGAAUAAGGAUCGGCUAACUCCGUGCCAGCAGCCGCGGUAAUACGGAGGAUCCGAGCGUUAUCCGGAUUUAUUGGGUUUAAAGGGAGCGUAGGUGGAUUGUUAAGUCAGUUGUGAAAGUUUGCGGCUCAACCGUAAAAUUGCAGUUGAAACUGGCAGUCUUGAGUACAGUAGAGGUGGGCGGAAUUCGUGGUGUAGCGGUGAAAUGCUUAGAUAUCACGAAGAACUCCGAUUGCGAAGGCAGUUCACUGGACUGCAACUGACACUGAGGCUCGAAAGUGUGGGUAUCAAACAGGAUUAGAUACCCUUGUAGUC